ACGUAGGUGGCAAGCGUUGUCCGGAUUUAUUGGGCGUAAAGCGAGCGCAGGCGGUCUUUUAAGUCUGAUGUGAAAGCCCCCGGCUUAACCGGGGAGGGUCAUUGGAAACUGGGAGACUUGAGUGCAGAAGAGGAAAGCGGAAUUCCAUGUGUAGCGGUGAAAUGCGUAGAUAUAUGGAGGAACACCAGUGGCGAAGGCGGCUUUCUGGUCUGUAACUGACGCUGAGGCUCGAAAGCGUGGGGAGCAAACAGGGUUAGAUACCCUGGUAGUCCACGCCGUAAACGAUGAGUGCUAAGUGUUGGAGGGUUUCCGCCCUUCAGUGCUGCAGCAAACGCAUUAAGCACUCCGCCUGGGGAGUACGACCGCAAGGUUG
rnacentral:rRNA from 1 species